rnacentral:lncRNA from 1 species
AAAGAAGGAGUUCCCCCAUCUUUUCAGGAUUCAGCUGAAUCUCGAGGAUGAGAUUCAAUUUAAGUAGGGUAGUUUGUAACAUCUGUAAAAUCUACUAACUCAAAUCAUCCGCUAAAAAUUCAUCUUCAAAACCUUUUGACUGUUAAGCUCCCGGAAAUUCUUUCCUUCCCGACGAUUUCGCUAUCCCAGCACCCAACGCUGGCAACCGCCCUUUUCUUCCUCCAUAAAUUUUGCCGCAUGCCCGUCAAAAUCCGUCACGCGUGCUCAACUAUUUUCCACAUUUUUCACUGACUCUCCCUCUCUUUUCUCUUUUUCUUCCCCUUCUUCUUUUUUUCCUUUUCUUUUUCUUUCUUCUCUUUCUUCCUUUCUUCCUUCUUCCUCCUUCUUCUUCCUUCCUCUUUCUUCUUUCUUCCAGGCCGAGCGCACGCCUGCUCCUCUGGCGCCUGGCCACCCUGGCCCCUCUCCUUAGCCCACCCACGCACCCUGCCGCUCGCCCCGUGCCUGGCGGCCCCCAGCCCCGCACGUCGCUCGCUCCGCGCCCGCUG